rnacentral:rRNA from 1 species
GGAUUCCCCUAGUAACUGCGAGUGAAGAGGGAAAAGCUCAAAUUUAAAAUCUGGCAGCUUCGCUGUCCGAGUUGUAAUUUAGAGAAGUGUUACCCGUGUUGGACCGUGUAUAAGUCUCCUGGAAUGGAGCGUCAUAGAGGGUGAGAAUCCCGUCUUUGACACGGACUACCAAUGCAUUGUGGUGCGCUCUCGAAGAGUCGAGUUGUUUGGGAAUGCAGCUCUAAAUGGGUGGUAAAUUCCAUCUAAAGCUAAAUAUUGGCGAGAGACCGAUAGCGAACAAGUACCGUGAGGGAAAGAUGAAAAGAACUUUGGAAAGAGAGUUAAACAGUACGUGAAAUUGCUGAAAGGGAAACGCUUGAAGUCAGUCGCGUUGGCCGGGGAUCAGCCUUGCUUUUGUGAGGUGUACUUCCUGGUUGACGGGUCAGCAUCAGUUUCGACCAUUGGAAAAAGACUUGGGGAAUGUGGCAACUUCGGUUGUGUUAUAGCCCUUUGUCGUAUACAGUGAUUGGGACUGAGGAACUCAGCACGCCGCAAGGCCGGGUUUCGACCACGUUCGUGCUUAGGAUGCUGGCAAAAUGGCUUUAAUCGACCCGUCUUGAAACACGGACCAAGGAGUCUAACAUGCUUGCGAGUGUUUGGGUGGAAAACCCGAGCGCGUAAUGAAAGUGAAAGUUGGGAUCUCUGUCGUGGAGAGCACCGACGCCCGGACCAGAAGUUUACUGACGGAUCUGCGGUAGAGCACGUAUGUUGGGACCCGAAAGAUGGUGAACUAUGCCUGAAUAGGGUGAAGCCAGAGGAAACUCUGGUGGAGGCUCGUAGCGAUUCUGACGUGCAAAUCGAUCGUCGAAUUUGGGGUAUAGGGGCGAAA